AGAUUGAACGCUGGCGGCAUGCCUUACACAUGCAAGUCGAACGGCAGCACGGGAGCAAUCCUGGUGGCGAGUGGCGAACGGGUGAGUAACACAUCGGAACGUGCCCAAUCGUGGGGGAUAACUACGCGAAAGCGUAGCUAAUACCGCAUACGAUCUACGGAUGAAAGCAGGGGAUCGCAAGACCUUGCGCGAAUGGAGCGGCCGAUGGCAGAUUAGGUAGUUGGUGAGGUAAAGGCUCACCAAGCCUUCGAUCUGUAGCUGGUCUGAGAGGACGACCAGCCACACUGGGACUGAGACACGGCCCAGACUCCUACGGGAGGCAGCAGUGGGGAAUUUUGGACAAUGGGCGCAAGCCUGAUCCAGCCAUGCCGCGUGCAGGAUGAAGGCCUUCGGUUGUAAACGUGCUUUGUACGGUAACGAAAAGGACGUCUUUCUAAUACUACAGGCUCAUGACGUACCGUAAGAAGUAAGACACCGACUAACUACGUGACCG
rnacentral:rRNA from 1 species